CACUCUUAGCGGUGGAUCACUAGCCUCGUGCGUCAAUGAAGAACACAGCUAGCUGCAAGAAUUAAUGUGAAUUGCAGGACACAUUGAUCAUCAACACUUCGAACGCACUUGCGGCCCCGGGUUCCUCAGGGGCUACGCCUGUCUGAGCGUCG